CCAGCGCAAUUACUAUUGAAAGAGCUGAGAACACGUACAGGUCACCUUAUGCUUUGUCACCUAAAAACGCAUACCUGAUGGCUUUAUGAAGGUGGUACGUUAAUAUUAAGUUUACAGAAAGCGAUCGCUAAGUCCGUGACUUAUGUAAAUCACGAUGUACACAUUCAUGCAAUAAAGGAUGACGCGAAUUUCGGUUUCGAAUCUGUUUUUUGGAUGCGUAGUAGUUUCGUUUGACAUGCGAUCGCGCGUCGACAUCGGACGCUAUGACACACUCGUGCCUUAUGUGCCACCGAAGCCCCGAAGUGGUCUGGCAUAUACCUUCACAUAUAUGCAAUGGCAAGCCCUUCCGUGUGUUCCAAAGACAAUGCCUACGCCUAGCCACAGCAGCUCCCUCAUACAGACUCCGCAAACCAAGAGGCCGUGGAGGCAAAUGCAGGCAGCCAGCACACCUCGAACAGCCACCUUGACUGCGGGUGUGUCACCCUAGUCGCCAAGGAAACAUUUGAGGGAAAGUGACAGGCAAUGUGAACAGCCACUCCUCCAUGUAAACAAUACUCUUUCUCUCGGAUGACUCCUACGCCUCACCACGCCAGCACACUUGUGCACAAAGAUGCCGCAGAGGCACGUGCAGGUCAGAGGCAAGAAGCAGUGGCACUGGUGUCGACAUUUACCCAAUUUCUUUUUCUUACACUGAGGCAGCCAGCACACCUCGAACAGCCACCUCGACUGCGGGUGUGUUAGUUGAUCCCUGUUGUACAUGUGCUCAUAAUAAACUUCAGUAAACUUGAACUUCAUAAUAAACGUGAAGGCAAAUGGUACAUUGA